rnacentral:misc_RNA from 1 species
GAUCAUCCCAAUCUUGUCAAGUUGAUUGGAUACUGUGCUGAGGGGGAUCAGAGGCUACUGGUGUAUGAGUACAUGCCAUUAGGAUCCCUAGAAAACCAUUUGCAUGAUCUUCCACCUAAUAGGCAACCACUUGAUUGGAACACAAGAAUGAAAAUAGCUGCUGGUGCAGCAAAGGGCUUAGAGUACUUACACAAAAAAAUGAAACCUCCUGUUAUAUAUCGUGAUCUGAAAUG